CUUAUCAUGAUAAACUGGACCAUGCCUGGUUGAUUCAUGGGUAAUCUGAGUUGCCUGUAGGCCUAUGGCAGCAGUAACUUUAUCAAAGGCCAUGUGAUCACUACUAUGACCAGUUUAACACACAUGGCGAGCCACCGCACUACCCUUCCCAUGUGUGAUGGCUUUGCCUCUCUUUGAUUCCUGCACAGAAAACGUCGAGGUGCACCAAGUGGCUCUGCAGGGUCUGAGAGGAUAGAAGCACUGAGAUAUCAACGAGUGAAAAAAGCCAAGAAAAUCGGCAUCAACAAUAACAACUCCAAGACCAGACGAAAGAUGGGUGUGCCCCCCUCUCAGAUCCAGCAGCCCCACACCUCUCAGGUCCUCCAGCCAGAAGAAGCUCUCUACCUCCGCAAGAAGAAGAAAAAGUUGACUCGCCAGGACCCGUAUGCCCGCUUUUCCGCUCUGCUGUACCGCCGCCCGCCCCGAGAAGACCAGAAAGCCAUUUUGGCUAGUAUGGACACAGCAGACCCAGACCACGCCACUCUCCUCUGAAGUCCCAGAGAUUACAGACCACACUCUCCCCAAACUCUGAGCUCCUUCCACCUUUGCUCAGCCAGCCAACGUCUUCACGUCCACCCCUGAAUCCAAUGGUUUACUCCUCUUCUCUUUUCCGUUACGCUUAAUGUAUCACAAGAAAAUGCUUGUGUUCCAAGGUUUUGCUCUAGUCCAUUUACCUCAAAUUCAGAAGGAUCGUCAUGUUGAGCAGAUUAAAAAGAAUAUCUUGUAUGCCUCAUUUCAUCUUAGUGACUCUUAUCAGAUGGUGCAUUAGAUAAGAGAACAGCUGUCAAGCUUCUGUUUCAUUCUGCCAACAGUAGAUCACAGGGUUUUCACAGGUAUACCUCAAACUCACCACAAUCUCAGUGCUGCUAUACUGACAAAUACAGAAGACGUUAGCAAUCCGAACAUUUGUUUGUAUUUUCAAAUAUGACAUUCCACAGUGCAAAUUUUGAACGUAUUCGCAAACCAUCCAUGAAACGUGCCAUGUACACUACCAUUCAAAAGUUUGAGGUCAGUAAGAUUUUCUGAUGUUUUUGAAAGUAAUCUCUUGAUCCUUCAGAAAUCUUUUGAAUAUGUUGAUUUGGUGCUCAAGAAACAUUUCUUAUUAUUAUCAAUGUUGAAAACAAUUGUACUGCUCAAUAUUUUUGUGAAACCCA
rnacentral:lncRNA from 1 species